ACGCACGUGUGAAACUUGAAGGAAUUGACGGAAGGGCACCACAAGAACGCGUGGAGCAUGUGGCUUAAUUUGACUCAACGCGGGAAAUCUUACCGGGUCCGGACACACUGAGGAUUGACAGGCAAUAUUAAAUAAAGUUUAAUUUUCGGACUAUCUGAUAUUUAUGUUAAAUAUGCUAGUCCUUUCAUGAUUAUGUGAUAGGUGGUGCAUGGCCGUUCUUAGUUCGUGGAGUGAUCUGUCUGCUUAAUUGCGUUUCACUAAGGGCUUAUCUAAUUAUAACGUGUGUUGCUAGAGUUUUAUACCUUUGUGACCCCUUUAAUUAGUGUGUGUCUAUAAUGGUAGCUUUGGCUCACACAAUUAAGUCCUGAAAGCAACGAACGUGACCG
rnacentral:rRNA from 1 species